rnacentral:rRNA from 1 species
GAUGAACGCUAGCGGCAGGCCUAACACAUGCAAGUCGAGGGAGAGGUUACCUUCAGGUAACCAAAACCGGCGCACGGGUGCGUAACGCGUAUACAAUCUGCCUUUCACAUAGGGACAGCCCGAAGAAAUUUGGAUUAAUACCUAAUGGUAUAUAAGAGCGGCAUCGUUUUUAUAUUAAAGCUACGGCGGUGAAAGAUGAGUAUGCGUUCUAUUAGCUAGUUGGAGAGGUAACGGCUCCCCAAGGCGACGAUAGAUAGGGGUUCUGAGAGGGAUGUCCCCCACACUGGUACUGAGAUACGGACCAGACUCCUACGGGAGGCAGCAGUGAGGAAUAUUGGACAAUGGUCGGAAGACUGAUCCAGCCAUGCCGCGUGCAGGAUGAAGGUCCUAUGGAUUGUAAACUGCUUUUGUAAGGGAAGAAUAAGGAGUACGUGUACUUUGAUGACGGUACCUUACGAAUAAGCAUCGGCUAACUCCGUG